UUACGACCAUAUCACGUUAAAACGCCGGUUUCCGUACAAUCCCCGAAGUUAAGCAAGAGUCGAGCCUGGUCCGUACCUAGAUUGGGUGACCGCGUGGGAAUUCCAGGUGCUGUAAG